rnacentral:rRNA from 1 species
UGCAGCGACGCCGCGUGAGGGAUGAAGGCCUUCGGGUUGUAAACCUCUUUCAGCAGGGAAGAAGCGCAAGUGACGGUACCUGCAGAAGAAGCGCCGGCUAACUACGUGCCAGCAGCCGCGGUAAUACGUAGGGCGCAAGCGUUGUCCGGAAUUAUUGGGCGUAAAGAGCUCGUAGGCGGUUUGUCGCGUCUGGUGUGAAAACUCAAGGCUCAACCUUGAGCUUGCAUCGGGUACGGGCAGACUAGAGUGCGGUAGGGGUGACUGGAAUUCCUGGUGUAGCGGUGGAAUGCGCAGAUAUCAGGAGGAACACCGAUGGCGAAGGCAGGUCACUGGGCCGCAACUGACGCUGAGGAGCGAAAGCAUGGGGAGCGAACAGGAUUAGAUACCCUGGUAGUCCAUGCCGUAAACGUUGGGCACUAGGUGUGGGGCUCAUUCCACGAGUUCCGUGCCGCAGCAAACGCAUUAAGUGCCCCGCCUGGGGAGUACGGCCGCAAGGCUAAAACUCAAAGGAAUUGACGGGGGCCCGCACAAGCGGCGGAGCAUGCGGAUUAAUUCGAUGCAACGCGAAGAACCUUACCAAGGCUUGACAUACACCGGAAACUUCCAGAGAUGGUUGCCCCGCAAGGUC